rnacentral:tRNA from 1 species
GGCGUGUAGCUUAGUGGUUAGGGUAUACGGCUCACAAUCGUUAGAUCUUGAGUUCGAUUCCCAGCAGCCG